rnacentral:rRNA from 1 species
CACGUAGGGUGCGAGCGUUGUCCGGAAUUAUUGGGCGUAAAGAGCUCGUAGGCGGUGUGUCGCGUCGGCCGUGAAAACCUGCAGCUUAACUGUGGGCGUGCGGUCGAUACGGGCAUCACUGGAGUUCGGCAGGGGAGACUGGAAUUCCUGGUGUAGCGGUGAAAAUGCGCAGAUAUCAGGAGGAACACCGGUGGCGAAGGCGGAUCUCUGGGCCUUACCUGACGCUGAGGCGCGAAAAGCUAGGGGGAGCAAAACGGGG